rnacentral:rRNA from 1 species
AGAGUUUGAUCAUGGCUCAGGAUGAACGCUGGCGGUAUGCGUAACACAUGCAAGUCGAACGAAGUUUUUCGGAACUUAGUGGCGGACGGGUGAGUAACGCGUGAGAAUCUGCCUUAAGGAUUGGGACAACAGUGGGAAACCGCUGCUAAUACCAAAUAUGCCUUUUAGUGAAACGGGUAAAACCGCCUUAAGAUGAGCUCGCGUCUGAUUAGCUAGUUGGUGUGGUAAGAGCGCACCAAGGCAACGAUCAGUAGCUGGUCUGAGAGGACGAUCAGCCACACUGGGACUGAGACACGGCCCAGACUCCUACGGGAGGCAGCAGUGAGGAAUUUUCCGCAAUGGGCGAAAGCCUGACGGAGCAAUACCGCGUGAGGGAGGAAGGUUCUUGGAUUGUAAACCUCUUUUCUCAGAGAAGAAUAAUGACGGUAUCUGAGGAAUAAGCAUCGGCUAACUCCGUGCCAGCAGCCGCGGUAAUACGGAGGAUGCAAGCGUUAUCCGGAAUGAUUGGGCGUAAAGGGUCUGUAGGUGGUUGUUCAAGUCUGCUGUUAAAGCAUCUGGCUUAACCAGAUAAAGGCGGUGGAAACUGAACGACUAGAGUGCGGUAGGGGUAGAGGGAAUUCCCAGUGUAGCGGUGAAAUGCGUAGAUCUUGGGAAGAACACCUGUGGCGAAAGCGCUCUACUGGACCGCGACUGACACUCAUGGACGAAAGCUAGGGGAGCGAAUGGGAUUAGAUACCCCCGUAGUCC